CCCUUAGAUGUUCUGGGCCGCACGCGCGCUACACUGACGGAGGCAGCGAGCGUGUCCUUCGCCGGCAGGUGCAGGCAAUCUUGCGAGUCUCCGUCGUGCUGGGGAUAGAUGGUUGCAAUUGUCGAUCUUGAACGAGGAAUUCCUAGUAAGCGCGAGUCAUCAGCUCGCGCUGAUUACGUCCCUGCCCUUUGUACACACCGCCCGUCGCUACUACAGAGUGCCCGUGUCCAAGAAACGGUCGGACCUGUGCGGCCUCUCCGGGCGACCGGAGGGCCGUUACGGGGAAGACCCUUUAUUUGACGCGGGUCGAUGAAGUAAAAGUCGUAACA
rnacentral:rRNA from 1 species